UACAGAGGGUGCGAGCGUUGUCCGGAAUCACUGGGCGUAAAGGGCGCGUAGGCGGCUUGAUAAGCGUGCGGUGAAAGCCCGGGGCUCAACCCCGGGUCGGCCGUGCGAACUGUCGAGCUUGGAGCACUGUAGAGGCAGGUGGAAUUCCGGGUGUAGCGGUGGAAUGCGUAGAGAUCCGGAAGAACACCAGUGGCGAAGGCGGCUCACUGGUCCGGUACUGACGCUGAGGUGCGAAAGCGUGGGGAGCAAACAGG
rnacentral:rRNA from 1 species